UACGAAGGGUGCAAGCGUUACUCGGAAUUACUGGGCGUAAAGCGUGCGUAGGUGGUUUGUUAAGUCUGAUGUGAAAGCCCUGGGCUCAACCUGGGAACUGCAUUGGAUACUGGCUUACUAGAGUGCGGUAGAGGGGUGUGGAAUUCCCGGUGUAGCAGUGAAAUGCGUAGAUAUCGGGAGGAACACCGGUGGCGAAGGCGGUUCUCUGGGCCUGACCUGACGCUGAGGCGCGAAAGCGUGGGGAGCGAACAGG
rnacentral:rRNA from 1 species